rnacentral:rRNA from 1 species
CCCGCUGAACUUAAGCAUAUCAAUAAGCGGAGGAAAAGAAACCAACAGGGAUUGCCCUAGUAACGGCGAGUGAAGCGGCAAAAGCUCAGAUUUGAAAUCUGGUCUCCUUAGGGGGCCCGAGUUGUAAUCUGGAGAGGAUGCUUUUGGCGAGACCCCACCUGAGAUCCUUGGAAUAGGACGCCAUAGAGGGUGAGAGCCCCGUAAAGGAUGGGAGGCAAGCCUGUAUAAAGCUCCUUCGACGAGUCGCGUAGUCCGGGACUGCUGCGCAAAUUGGGAGGUAAACUCCUCCUAAAGCUAAAUACUGGCCAGAGACCGAUAGCGCACAAGUAGAGUGAUCGAAAGAUGAAAAGCACUUUGAAAAGAGAGUCAAACAGUACGUGAAAUUGUUGAAAGGGAAGCGCUCAUGACCAGACUUGAUCUCGAGGGAUCUCGGGGCUUGCCGCCCCGACACUUCACCGAGUUUCAGGCCAGCAUCAGUUCGGGUCGGGACACAAAGACCUGCCGGAAUGUGGCUCUUCGGAGUGUUAUAGCCGGCGGUGUAAUAUCCUGGCGCGGACUGAGGACUGCGCAGGGCCUUCUGGGCCCUGCAAUGAUGCUGGCGUAAUGGUCAUUAGCGGCCCGUCUUGAAACACGG